CAGUCGCCACGGGAAUACGUAGGUGGCAAGCGUUGUCCGGAAUUAUUGGGCGUAAAGGGCUCGCAGGCGGUUUCUUAAGUCUGAUGUGAAAGCCCCCGGCUCAACCGGGGAGGGUCAUUGGAAACUGGGAAACUUGAGUGCAGAAGAGGAGAGUGGAAUUCCACGUGUAGCGGUGAAAUACGUAGAGAUGUGGAGGAACACCAGUGGCGAAGGCGACUCUCUGGUCUGUAACUGACGCUGAGGAGCGAAAGCGUGGGGAGCGAACAGGAUUAGAUACCCCUGUAGUCCCUGUCUCUUAUAC
rnacentral:rRNA from 1 species